GUGGGGAAUAUUGGACAAUGGGCGAAAGCCUGAUCCAGCCAUGCCGCGUGUGUGAAGAAGGUCUUCGGAUUGUAAAGCACUUUAAGUUGGGAGGAAGGGUAGUAACCUAAUACGUUGCUACUUUGACGUUACCGACAGAAUAAGCACCGGCUAACUUCGUGCCAGCAGCCGCGGUAAUACGAAGGGUGCAAGCGUUAAUCGGAAUUACUGGGCGUAAAGCGCGCGUAGGUGGUUCAGUAAGUUGGAAGUGAAAUCCCCGGGCUCAACCUGGGAACUGCUUUCAAAACUGCUGAGCUAGAGUACGGUAGAGGGUGGUGGAAUUUCCUGUGUAGCGGUGAAAUGCGUAGAUAUAGGAAGGAACACCAGUGGCGAAGGCGACCACCUGGACUGAUACUGACACUGAGGUGCGAAAGCGUGGGGAGCAAACAGGAUUAGAUACCCCGGUAGUCC
rnacentral:rRNA from 1 species